GAAUUCGCAGGUAGAUCAUCGUUCUCGUUCUCGUUCUCCGCCUCCGGAGACGCGAUCCGCCCCCCGCUUUCCACUAGGGUCGAGGGGUGUCGUGCCUCGCACAAACCGGGCCCUAAGCAUCGAAUCGGACGUGUGAAGCGUCUAUUGGGUAUGAGGCUAUUCAUGCGCUUGGCAGCGCUCUUCGUCUGUGGAGGGUUAUCGGUGGCCGGUACGGCCGCGCCGGCAACAGCGGCUCCGCACGCACGCAUCCUCUAUACGGUGCAGGACGUUUGGGAGACAGGAGCUCCA
rnacentral:misc_RNA from 1 species